GACAGAGGCCUCAAGCGUUUAGGCGGAAUCACUGGGCUUAAAGCGUGUGUAGGCGGAUCGUUAAGUGUCUUGUGAAAUCCCACGGCUCACCCGUGGAACUGCUGGGCAUACUGGCGAUCUUGGGCCAACUAGGGGCAACUGGAACAAGCGGUGGAGCGGUGAAAUGCGUAGAUAUCAUUUGGAACGCCAAUGGUGAAAACAACUCGCUGGGGAAGUGCUGACGCUGAGACACGAAAGCCAGGGGAGCGAACGGG
rnacentral:rRNA from 1 species